rnacentral:lncRNA from 1 species
GGUAGGAAAACUGUUGUUUACGUAAAGAUUUAUCAAAUCAGUCAGUACAAAUGCCAGAUACAAUGUAUUUAUUUAAAAGAUUCAUUUUUUUAAUCAUGAAAUUACUUUUCAUCCACAUUGUUUUAAAAAGGAACACGAUGGUGGAUGUUUGCCAAUUUUUGCCUUCAUUAUCUUUUUUGAUAAAGUUUCUCAGAUCCUUGUUUCAAAGACAAAUGCAGGGAUUACUGCCACUUUUUUAAAAAUAAGAGGCAGAAAAUUGCACAAUGUUGAACUUUUCUCCACUAAAAUCGUGUGCAGUUUUAGUUUGCAUUCCUGAUAGGAUUUAAAACAUGUAAUAUAGAUGUAAAAAAAAAAAAAAAAAGCCAAACUUGUGCAAAGUCUAGAAGUUCUCUAUGACUUUCAGUAUGCACACAGUUGUCUUAGGUUUAAAGAGUAAUAGACGUUUCGUGAACUAUACCAUCUCCACUAUUAUCCCUUUGGAAUUUUUAAAUGUAAAUUAUUAGUUUAUAUCAUUUUAUAUCCACAUUUUUUCACAAAUUUGUCCUGCCUUAUGAAAUAUCUGUAAAAUAUUCUUAAAUG